CUCCACCACAUACGUGAAUCGAGGCCAGGACAUUUCCAAUAUUGUGUCCCAGUAUCUAAAAAAGGUUCAAACGGAAGGGUAAAAGGUUCCGGCUCAGUGAAAGCGGAGUUCCUCGCAACCAUCAAAGGCUCUUACUUCUGAAAAAACAAUUUCCAAAGUAAUGAAAAAUCAUCAAUUCUUCACAGAUAAUCUGUUGGACCUUACUUGUC